GCCGGGGUAGCUCAGGUGGUUAGAGCGGGCGUCUCAUAAGCGCCAGGUCGGCGGUUCGAGUCCGCCCUCCGGCACCA
rnacentral:tRNA from 2 species